rnacentral:rRNA from 2 species
UGGGGAAUAUUGCACAAUGGAGGGAACUCUGAUGCAGCGACGCCGCGUGAACGAAGAAGGCUUUCGAGUCGUAAAGUUCUUUUAUAUGGGAAGAUAAUGACGGUACCAUAAGAAAAAGCCCCGGCUAACUACGUGCCAGCAGCCGCGGUAAUACGUAGGGGGCUAGCGUUGUCCGGAAUCACUGGGCGUAAAGGGUUCGCAGGCGGAAAUGCAAGUCAGGUGUAAAAGGCAGUAGCUUAACUACUGUAAGCAUUUGAAACUGCAUAUCUUGAGAAGAGUAGAGGUAAGUGGAAUUUUUAGUGUAGCUGUGAAAUGCGUAGAUAUUAAAAAGAAUACCGGUGGCGAAGGCGACUUACUGGGCUCAUUCUGACGCUGAGGAACGAAAGCGUGGGUAGCAAACAGG